rnacentral:SRP_RNA from 1 species
GCCGGGCGUGGUGGCGGGCGCCUAUAGUCCCAGCUACUUGGGAGGCUGAGUCAGGAGAACGGCAUGAACCUGGGAGGCGGAGCUUGCAGUGAGUCGAGAUCGCGCAACUGCACUCCAGCCUGGGUGACAGAGCGAGACUCCAUCUCAAAAUAAAUAAAUAAAUAAAUAAAAAUAUAAAGUCUGUUAUUGAGGAGGGCAUAGAUACACUGCUUCCUUGUAUGUUUGUUUUCAAGACAGAGCCUUGCUCUGUCACCCAGGUUGGAGUGCAGUGGUGCGAUCUUGGCUCACUGCAACCUCCACCUCCCGGGUUCAAGUGAUUCUCCUGCCUCAG